rnacentral:rRNA from 1 species
GAUGAACGCUAGCUACAGGCUUAACACAUGCAAGUCGAGGGGUAACGAGAGGGAAGCUUGCUUUCCUUGUCGACGACCGGCGCACGGGUGAGUAACGCGUAUCCAACCUGCCCCCAACUAAGGAAUAACCUUGCGAAAGUAAGACUAAUACCUUAUAAUUUCCUCAGAUGACAUCUGACGAGGAAUAAAGAUUUAUCGGUUGUGGAUGGGGAUGCGUCUGAUUAGCUUGUUGGCGGGGUAACGGCCCACCAAGGCAACGAUCAGUAGGGGUUCUGAGAGGAAGGUCCCCCACAUUGGAACUUAGACACGGGCCAAACUCCUACGGGAGGCAGCAGUGAGGAAUAUUGGUCAAGGGGCGGAAGCCUGAACCAGCCAAGUAGCGUGCAGGAUGACGGCCCUAUGGGUUGUAAACUGCUUUUAUACAGGAGUAAAGUUAGCCACGUGUGGUUAUUUGUAGGUACUGUAUGAAUAAGGACCGGCUAAUUCCGUGCCAGCCGCCGCGGUAA